rnacentral:rRNA from 1 species
UCUCAACAACGGAUAUCUUGGCUCCCGUAACGAUGAAGAACGCAGCGAAAUGCGAUACGUAGUGUGAAUUGCAGAAUUCCGUGAACCAUAGAAUCUUUGAACGCAAAUUGCGCUCGAGGCUUCGGCCAAGAGCAUGUUUGCCUCAGCGUCGGCUACUACCC